rnacentral:miRNA from 14 species
GCCUACAGAUUUGCUUUUUCUCUUCCAUGCCUUGAGUGUAGGACUGUUGACAUCUUAAUUACCCUCCCACACCCAAGGCUUGCAGGAGAGCAAGCCUUCUCUUCUC